AGGACCCUGUCCUCCUAUUUUCAGUUGGUUUGCCGCGAGGACCAGGGUAAUGAUUAAUAGGGAUAGUUGGGGGCAUUAAUAUUUAAUUGUCAGAGGUGAAAUUCUUGGAUUUAUGAAAGAUUAACUUCUGCGAAAGCAUCUGCCAAGGAUGUUUUCAUUAAUCAAGAACGAAAGUUAGGGGAUCGAAGACGAUCAGAUACCGUCGUAGUCUUAACCAUAAACGAUGCCGACCAGCGAUUAGGAGACGUUGAAUACAAAACACCACCAUGCGCAUUGCGGUCGUCUUUGGUGUCGCUCACAAGGCGGCACCGGGGCGGCUUAGCUCGCAUGGCACCGGUGA
rnacentral:rRNA from 1 species